rnacentral:rRNA from 1 species
UACGAAGGGGGCUAGCGUUGUUCGGAAUUACUGGGCGUAAAGGGCGCGUAGGCGGUGUGUCAAGUCAGGCGUGAAAGCCCCGGGCUCAACCUGGGAACAGCGCUUGAGACUGGCACGCUCGAGUUCGGGAGAGGAUGGUGGAAUUCCCAGUGUAGAGGUGAAAUUCGUAGAUAUUGGGAAGAACACCGAUGGCGAAGGCAGGUCUCUGGGCCGCAACUGACGCUGAGGAGGCGAAAGCAUGGGGAGCGAACAGGG